UUUUUUCUGUGUGUAAAAGUUCCCUGAAAUGAGAUUAACCAAUGUCAAUUGAUAAUAAUGACAAACUGUAACAAUUUCCACAGCAUCACAUAAUAGAAUAUUAAUGCACUUCAUGUAGUUGAAAUGUAAUAGGAGACAAUAUGCAUCUUUGACGCAUACAAAUAUACAUAGUGAGGCUUGUUAAACUCAAGAGAGGGAUUCACUUUUUUUUUAUAGGGUCUAUUCUCUGGAAAUAUUCAUCUUCUUAAUCAGAGAGGAAUUCACUUCAAGAAAGUCAACAGACUCAAGAGAGGAAUUCUCUUUUCUUUAUUAUAAAGUCCAUUCUCUGGAAAUAUUCAUCUUCUUAAUCAGAGAGGAAUUCACUUCAAGAAAGUCAACAGACUCAAGAGAGGAAUUCUCUUUUCUUUAUUAUAAAGUCC
rnacentral:misc_RNA from 1 species